rnacentral:rRNA from 1 species
AGAUCUGGAGCGAAACUCAAAAAAGUAAGUCUCAGUUCGGAUUGCAGGCUGAAAUUCGCCUGCAUGAAGCCGGAAUUGCUAGUAAUGGCAGGUCAGCAUACUGCCGUGAAUACGUUCCCGGGCCUUGUACACACCGCCCGUCACACCAUGAGAGUUGGGAAUACCCGAAGCCUGUGAGCUAACAAGUUUCUUGAGGCAGCAGUCGAAGGUAGAAUCAAUGAUUGGGGUGAAGUCGUAACAAGGUAUC